rnacentral:rRNA from 1 species
GCUCAGAUUGAACGCUGGCGGCAGGCCUAACACAUGCAAGUCGAGCGGAUGAGUGGAGCUUGCUCCAUGAUUCAGCGGCGGACGGGUGAGUAAUGCCUAGGAAUCUGCCUGGUAGUGGGGGACAACGUUUCGAAAGGAACGCUAAUACCGCAUACGUCCUACGGGAGAAAGCAGGGGACCUUCGGGCCUUGCGCUAUCAGAUGAGCCUAGGUCGGAUUAGCUAGUUGGUGAGGUAAAGGCUCACCAAGGCGACGAUCCGUAACUGGUCUGAGAGGAUGAUCAGUCACACUGGAACUGAGACACGGUCCAGACUCCUACGGGAGGCAGCAGUGGGGAAUAUUGGACAAUGGGCGAAAGCCUGAUCCAGCCAUGCCGCGUGUGUGAAGAAGGUCUUCGGAUUGUAAAGCACUUUAAGUUGGGAGGAAGGGCAGUAAGUUAAUACCUUGC